rnacentral:rRNA from 1 species
AUAAGAUCCGUAGUCGAAAGGGAAACAGCCCAGACCACCAGUUAAGGUCCCCAAAUAUAUGUUAAGUGGAAAAGGAUGUGGGGUUGCUUAGACAACCAGGAUGUUGGCUUAGAAGCAGCCACCAUUGAAAGAGUGCGUAAUAGCUCACUGGUCGAGUGACCCCGCGCCGAAAAUGUACCGGGGCUAAACAUAUUACCGAAACUGUGGAUGAACCUCUUUAGAGGUUCGUGGUAGGAGAGCGUUCUAAGGGCGGUGAAGUCAGACCGGAAGGACUGGUGGAGCGCUUAGAAGUGAGAAUGCCGGUAUGAGUAGCGAAAGAAGGGUGAGAAUCCCUUCCACCGAAUAUCUAAGGUUUCCUGAGGAAGGCUCGUCCGCUCAGGGUUAGUCGGGACCUAAGCCGAGGCCGAUAGGCGUAGGCGAUGGACAACAGGUAGAGAUUCCUGUACCAGUGCUAAUUGUUUAACCGAUGGGGUGACACAGAAGGAUAGGGAAUCGCACGAAUGGAAAUGUGCGUCCAAGCAGUGAGUGUGAGAAGUAGGCAAAUCCGCUUCUCGCGAAGCAUGAGCUGUGAUGGGGAAGGAAAUUAAGUACGGAAGUUCCUGAUUUCACGCUGUCAAGAAAAGCCUCUAGGAAGAGUAGUACUGCCCGUACCGCAAACCGACACAGGUAGAUGAGGAGAGAAUCCUAAGGUGAGCGAGAGAACUCUCGUUAAGGAACUCGGCAAAAUGACCCCGUAACUUCGGGAGAAGGGGUGCUCUAUUAGGGUGCAAGCCCGAGAGAGCCGCAGUGAAUAGGCCCAGGCGACUGUUUAGCAAAAACACAGGUCUCUGCAAAACCGUAAGGUGACGUAUAGGGGCUGACGCCUGCCCGGUGCUGGAAGGUUAAGAGGAGUGCUUAGCUUCGGCGAAGGUACGAAUUGAAGCCCCAGUAAACGGCGGCCGUAACUAUAACGGUCCUAAGGUAGCGAAAUUCCUUGUCGGGUAAGUUCCGACCCGCACGAAAGGCGCAACGAUCUGGGCACUGUCUCAACGAGAGACUCGGUGAAAUUAUAGUACCUGUGAAGAUGCAGGUUACCCGCGACAGGACGGAAAGACCCCGUGGAGCUUUACUGCAACCUGAUAUGGAAUGUUUGUACCGCUUGUACAGGAUAGGUAGGAGCCGAAGAGACGUGUGCGCUAGCAUACGAGGAGGCAAUGGUGGGAUACUACCCUGGCUGUAUGACCAUUCUAACCCGCCACGCUUAGCGCGUGGGGAGACAGUGUCAGGUGGGCAGUUUGACUGGGGCGGUCGCC